GAUGAACGCUGGCGGCGUGCUUAACACAUGCAAGUCGAACGAAGCAUUUAGAACAGAUUACUUCGGUUUGAAGUUCUUUAUGACUGAGUGGCGGACGGGUGAGUAACGCGUGGGUAACCUGCCUUGUACUGGGGGAUAGCAGCUGGAAACGGCUGGUAAUACCGCAUAAGCGCACAAUGUUGCAUGACAUAGUGUGAAAAACUCCGGUGGUAUAAGAUGGACCCGCGUCUGAUUAGUUAGUUGGCGGGGUAACGGCCCACCAAGACCGCGAUCGGUAGCCGACCUGAGAGGGUGACCGGCCACAUUGGGACUGAGACACGGCCCAGACUCCUACGGGAGGCAGCAGUGGGGAAUAUUGCACAAUGGAGGAAACUCUGAUGCAGCGACGCCGCGUGAGUGAAGAAGUAUUUCGGUAUGUAAAGCUCUAUCAGCAGGGAAGAAAAAAAUGACGGUACCUGACUAAGAAGCCCCGGCUAACUACGUG
rnacentral:rRNA from 1 species